UACGGAGGAUCCAAGCGUUAUCCGGAUUUAUUGGGUUUAAAGGGUGCGUAGGCGGCCUAUUAAGUCAGGGGUGAAAGACGGUAGCUUAACUAUCGCAGUGCCCUUGAUACUGAUGGGCUUGAAUGUACUAGAGGUAGGCGGAAUGUGACAAGUAGCGGUGAAAUGCAUAGAUAUGUCACAGAACACCAAUUGCGAAGGCAGCUUACUAGACUGUAACUGACGCUGAGGCACGAAAGUGUGGGGAUCAAACAGG
rnacentral:rRNA from 1 species